UACGAAGGGGGGCUAGCGUUGCUCGGAAUCACUGGGCGUAAAGGGUGCGUAGGCGGGUCUUUAAGUCAGGGGUGAAAUCCUGGAGCUCAACUCCAGAACUGCCUUUGAUACUGAAGAUCUUGAGUUCGGGAGAGGUGAGUGGAACUGCGAGUGUAGAGGUGAAAUUCGUAGAUAUUCGCAAGAACACCAGUGGCGAAGGCGGACUCACUGGUCCGGUACUGACGCUGAGGUGCGAAAGCGUGGGGAGCGAACAGG
rnacentral:rRNA from 1 species